AUUGAACGCUGGCGGCAGGCCUAACACAUGCAAGUCGAACGAGUGGCGGACGGGUGAGUAAUGUCUGGGAAACUGCCAUAUGGAGGGGGAUAACUACUGGAAACGGUAGCUAAUCCCGCAUACCAUCCGAUUUGCCCAGAUGGGAUUAGCUUGUUGGUGGGGUAACGGCUCACCAAGGCGACGAUCCCUAGCUGGUCUGAGAGGGUGACCAGCCACACUGGAACUGAGACACGGUCCAGACUCCUACGGGAGGCAGCAGUGGGGAAUAUUGCACAAUGGGCGAAAGCCUGAGGCAGCCAUGCCGCGUGUAUGAAGAAGGUCUUCGGAUUGUAAAGUACUGUCAGCGGGGAAGCGUUACCCGAAGAAGAAGCCACGGCUAACUCCGUGUCAGCAGCCGCGGUAAUUC
rnacentral:rRNA from 1 species